UUUUUUUGUUGAUGUAUAAAUACGCGGUUUUGUUUCGUUUCUGCAGGUUUCAAAGUGUCAUUACGACCAUUCUGUGCAUCGGUAGGUACCAAAUUAUAUGAAUGAUGUGCAAGAAGUUUCUUUUCGCGGUUCCUUUUUAACCAUAAAGGGUGACUUUUUCUUUUCUUUUAUUUCUAACUACGAUACAGUUAUCAUUUGGACCGGAAAAGUAGGAAAGUAGUUUUAAUAAUAAAUGGGAAAAACGUAGGAAAACCGGGAAAAUGUACGAAAUGUAUUAUUUUCCUAGUUUUUCGUUAGCAAUGAUACAACCGUUGCGUACAGUUAUUCCUGAGUCGAGUUCGAGUACCCGACUAAAAUGUUUGUACCGAGGUAUAGGCACAACACAAGAAGGUACAUUACAUUCCUCGAAUAAUGUUUUAUUAUCGAAUAAAAAAAUAAAUAAUAACAAGAAUGUAUAAAAACUAAAACAUUUUCAAAUCCAAACGUUUCCAAUAAGAAUACCACGUCGAUUGUUUGUGAAUCGGUUUGAAUUUACAAAAGUAGAUUGUUAUUGCUUAUCGCAUUACGAUAACGACAUCCCGUGUUUAUGAUUUACCCAUUUCCCAUUACCGAUUGGUAAACGCCCGCAAUACUCCAAUAAUACAUACUGGCAGUCGUUAUAGCGGCCGUGCCAUACCGUAGAUAAAGGAAUUAUUGAUACUCAACCCGUGCAAAAUGGCUCAGUUAGUUUUAACUCAAACAUUUCAUAUAGACGCGAAGACGAAAUUAUGAAAAUGAACUGAUGAUUUGUAUCAAACGAACAAAUGUCGUCAGGGUGCGCUCUUUGA